rnacentral:rRNA from 1 species
UACAGAGGGGGCAAGCGUUGUUCGGAAUUACUGGGCAUAAAGCGCACGUAGGCGGACCAUCAAGUCGGAUGUGAAAUCCCUCGGCUUAACCGAGGACGUGCAUUCGAUACUGAUGGCCUUGAGUACGAAAGAGGAUCGCGGAAUUCCCGGUGUAGAGGUGAAAUUCGUAGAUAUCGGGAGGAACACCAGUGGCGAAGGCGGCGAUCUGGGUCGAUACUGACGCUGAGGUGCGAAAGCGUGGGGAGCAAACAGG